ensembl:lncRNA
UUCAUUUUUAUUUUUUCACCAUGACAACUUUUCAAAUAUCGGAUUCCACUGCACCCGUCAACUCCAAGCUGACCACGGGCCUCCGUUCGGUAUGAGGGAGCAAACUACAAACUUUUCAAAGCGACAGGUGAAGCCCGCAGGGGGUGGAAAUGUGGAGGGGAUGAGAGCUGUAGGUAAUGGGACGGAUCGAUCAGAACACAUGAUGCUAUCGGCCGUGAGCGCUGCUGAGAAUUCAACUUCCAAAAGCGACAAGACACUUUUCAACAGCAGCUGCAGCGUGGAACGUUAUAAGAGACGCUUAAAACAUUUUCUACUGACUGGAUUUCUCUGUCAUGAAUACCGCCCAAAGAAACAACUAGAACAGAAAGCAAUAUGUGAGCCGAAUGGUAAUUACGACUAGCCUUCGUGCCAGUUUCUAUUGGCUCCGAGGCGAAUGCAACAUUAACGGCAAUUUAUUGGUUUCCUUUUGAAACCAGGUGCAAUGAUCCCUGCUCCGGGAAGUCAAUUUCAUUUCACCCAUGGCCACCAGCAGAGUGAAGCAGCGCACGUCUUACACAGUGAACACAAGUGCUCCGGGUGGUUUCCUGGGUCAGGGCCGCAAAUGCUACUUGUAAUUUGUGCUCAAGGAGUUUUAUUUACUUUUAUUGUUCUGACUCAGUGCUGGCAUGACAACCCUUUAAUUCAGGAUCUUAAAUGUACGUAAUUUCAUUUCUCCAUGUGCUUUUUAUGUGUUUUUUUGUCUUUGAAGUGACCCGGAAGUAUUUGAUCAGCAUCGAUGAGAAGAGCUGUUUGGAUUCUCUUAAUGCAUAGGAGAGGAGCUUUAAAGGGCCCAUAUUAUGCUCCAGGCACCUUUUCAGCCUGCCUCCACGUAUAUUUUGUUAUCUGGGGUGUCUGCCAGCCCACGGAAAAUGAAAAGAAAACAAUGAGUCGUUGAUUCUACCCCCCCAUCCCCCGAUAUGUUUACAGUACAUGUCACUAACCCUGUUUGUGUUUUCUAUCUCUCCUAGUGUAUCUCUGACCCCAGAGCUGCAGGACCCAAACCCGUCAUUAUUAUUGCUAUUAUUAAUAUUAAUAUUAAUAUCAUCACUAAUAAUAACAACAACAUAAUUGUAUUUUUUAAUUAUAAGUAUCAGUCUGGUAGAGAUUACAGCGGCGGUUGUACAACUGUCCUCUCUCUCUCUUCUCUCCUACUGUCUCACCUCCCACCCUCUUUCUGCCCACCUCUCCUCUCUUCCUCCUCUCUCUCCUCACCCCAACCGGUCGAGACAGAUGACCGCCCACAAGUGAGUCUGGUUCUGUCAGAGAUUUCUUCCUGUUAAAAGGGAGUUUUUUCUCUCCGCCGUCGCCAAGUGCUUUGCUCAUUGUGGGAUUUGUUGGGUUUUCCCUGUAAUAUUGUAAUAUUGACCUCACUAUGUAAAGUGCCUUGAGACAAUAUAUGUUGUGAUAUGGCGCUAUACAAAUAAAAUUGAAUUGAAUUGAAUUGAAUUGAUUCGUGGUUUGGGUUGAUCGUGCAGACGGUCUGUAAACGAGCCUUUCACAGCCCGGGCGUCAAGUGACGUAAGUUGACUCCCACUACUGGGGCGACCACGCCCCCAACCUGAGCAGCACCUCCCCCCCUUGAAGUGUGGAAAAACAGAUCGCGUCUACGCCAUAAUUUUCUCCCAGCUCGCGGCUACCGGCUACCGGCUACCGGCGGAGCUCCCGGCUACCGGCGGAGCUCCCGGCUACCGGCGGAGCUCGCGGCUACCGGCGGAGCUCGCGGCUGCCGGGCGUAGCUAGACUCGCGGCCGGGAUGUCGUUAACGUUCUAUCGCCCAGCCCCUUGUGCUCUGUGUGUAAUUAUGGAGAACGUGUUCGCUGUGCGAGGAGGUGCUUUGCGGAACACGAAGGGAGGAGGGCGAGGAGUGAGCAGGAAAGCGUUGGAAUCGACCAUAGUCUCACAGGGCUGUUUAUACAGAAAGAGGAGGUGCUGUGUGGCUUGAUCCUUGAGGUGUUUUGACAUGGAAUGGCAAAGACAUGUAGUGCACACACCUGAAAACCAAUGUAACUUGUGUAAAAGGGGGCAUAGUAUGGGCCCUUUAAUGCUUUCUUUCCUAUCGCCUAUAGCAUAGGGUACACUGGACCGGA